rnacentral:rRNA from 1 species
GGAAAGUUGGUGCCGUCGGCGCCGGAGAUAUGUAGUGUGCAAACGUGUAGAUGAAGUACUGGGCGUAACGUGGGGUUAGGCGGGUGGAUAAGCCAGAGGGAAAAUCCCCGAGCGCAACGUGGUGAAUGCAUGUGUGACGGUAUUGCUAGGUUACGCGUGAGGUGGAUGGAAGUCCGCGUGUAGCAGUGAAAUGCGUAGAUGUGCGGCUGAACACCGCUGGCGAAGGCAAUCCCCUCGGCCUGUACUGUCGCUCAUGCACGAAAGCGUGGUGAGCAAACAGGAUUAGAUACCCCUGUAGUC